rnacentral:lncRNA from 10 species
CGGGCGAGGUUUUCUCACCAUGUGAUGCGUGUGACAGGCUGACAGUGUACGCAUCAGUGGCCCGAGGCACGUUCACACUCUGGUGCGGCCAUCAGCACCGUCAUCUCCGGAACUCUCACCUGGCUAAACUGAGACUCCGCAUCUGUGAAACCAGCGCACCAGGGACCGGCUUCGUGGAAGACACUUUUUCCACGGACCGGGGAAGGGUGGGGAGCGCUUUCGGGAUGGAACUGCGAUCCCUCGCACGCGCAGAUCACGACAGGGCUCACGCUCCUACGAGAACCUAAUGCCGCUGCUGCUCGGAUGGGAAGUGGGGUUCAGGGGGUGACGCUUGCUCACCCACCACUCACCUCCGGCUGUGCAUCCUGG